UCCGGUUUGGCACCGGCAGUCUUCCUAGAGUCCCCGCCAUUACGCGCUGGCAACACAGGACAAGGGUUGCGCUCGUUGCGGGACUUAACCCAACAUCUCACGACACGAGCUGACGACAGCCAUGCACCACCUGUAUACCGACCACAAGGGGGGCCGUAUCUCUACGGCUUUCCCUACAUGUCAAACCCAGGUAAGGUUCUUCGCGUAACAUCGAAUUAAGCAACACGCUCCGCUGCUUGUGCGGGCCCCCGUCAAUUCCUUUGAGUUUCAAUCUUGCGAUCGUACUUCCCAGGUGGGAUACUUAAUGCUUUCGCUCAGACACUUGCUGUGUAUCGCAAAUGUCGAGUAUCCAUCGUUUAGGGCGUGGACUAC
rnacentral:misc_RNA from 1 species